AACCCCGGGAAACUGGGGAUAAUUCCGGAUAACGCACAUAUGCUGGAAUGCUUUAUGCGUAAAAUGGAUUCGUCUGCCCAAGGAUGGGUCUGCGGCCUAUCAGGUAGUAGUGGGUGUAAUGUACCUACUAGCCAACAACGGGUACGGGUUGUGAGAGCAAGAGCCCGGAGAUGGAUUCUGAGACAUGAAUCCAGGCCCUACGGGGCGCAGCAGGCGCGAAAACUUUACAAUGCGGGAAACCGUGAUAAGGGGACACCGAGUGCCAGCAUCAUAUGCUGGCUGUCCAGGUGUGUAAAAUACACCUGUCAGCAAGGGCCGGGCAAGACCGGUGCCAGCCGCCGCGGUAACACCGGCGGCCCGAGUGGUGAUCGUGAUUAUUGGGUCUAAAGGGUCCGUAGCCGGUUUGGUCAGUCCUCCGGGAAAUCUGACGGCUUAACCGUUAGGCUUUCGGGGGAUACUGCCAGGCUUGGAACCGGGAGAGGUAAGAGGUACUACAGGGGUAGGAGUGAAAUCUUGUAAUCCCUGUGAGACCACCUGUGGCGAAGGCGUCUUACCAGAACGGGUUCGACGGUGAGGGACGAAAGCUGGGGGCACGAACCGGAUUAGAUACCCGGGUAGUCCCAGCCGUAAACGAUGCUCGCUAGGUGUCAGGCAUGGCGCGACCGUGUCUGGUGCCGCAGGGAAGCCGUGAAGCGAGCCACCUGGGAAGUCCGCC
rnacentral:rRNA from 1 species